CCGAUAACAGAAGUGCAUCUUGUGGCAUUGCCUCCCUGCUGCCCUGUUCUGUGUGGCUCCAUAUACCUGUUACACUGUGUGAAGCCAAACUCUCCUGCACCACUUGCCAACAACAUUGUGCUGCGGCAGGCAAUUAAACCAAAAAGCCUCUCAAAGAACUCUUCAGCUCCUGUGGCCACAGCUCCCAGUUCCUCCACAGUGGCAGAGCAGCCUUGGACUGUGCUGUGAAUCCUCUGGUCUGGCAAGUCCGGGCUAACCCAAAGCACCCC